rnacentral:rRNA from 1 species
AACGUAGGUUCCGAGCGUUAUCCGGAUUUACUGGGCGUAAAGCGCGUGCAGGCGGUUCUGCAAGUCGGGCAUUAAAUCUCUGGGCUUAACUCGGAGGCGCUGUCCGAUACUGUGGGACUUGAGGACGGGAGAGGGUGGUGGAAUUCCGCAUGUAGUGGUGAAAUGCGUAGAGAUGCGGAGGAACACCAGUGGCGAAAGCGGCCACCUGGCCCGCUCCUGACGCUCAGACGCGAAAGCUCGGGGAGCGAACGGG